rnacentral:snRNA from 1 species
CAACGCCGGAUUCAUCAAGGCAA